rnacentral:rRNA from 1 species
AGAGUUUGAUCAUGGCUCAGGAUGAACGCUAGCGGCAGGCUUAACACAUGCAAGUCGAGGGGUAUAGGUUUUCGGACCUAGAGACCGGCGCACGGGUGCGUAACGCGUAUGCAAUCUACCUUUUACAGAGGGAUAGCCCAGAGAAAUUUGGAUUAAUACCUCAUAGUAUUAUUGAAUGGCAUCAUUUAAUAAUUAAAGUCACAACGGUAAAAGAUGAGCAUGCGUCCCAUUAGCUAGUUGGUAAGGUAACGGCUUACCAAGGCAACGAUGGGUAGGGGUCCUGAGAGGGAGAUCCCCCACACUGGUACUGAGACACGGACCAGACUCCUACGGGAGGCAGCAGUGAGGAAUAUUGGUCAAUGGGCGCAAGCCUGAACCAGCCAUGCCGCGUGCAGGAUGAAGCAUCUAUGGUGUGUAAACUGCUUUUGUACGAGAAGAAACACUCCUUCGUGAAGGAGCUUGACGGUAUCGUAAGAAUAAGGACCGGCUAACUCCGUGCCAGCAGCCGCGGUAAUACGGAGGGUCCAAGCGUUAUCCGGAAUCAUUGGGUUUAAAGGGUCCGUAGGCGGUUUUGUAAGUCAGUGGUGAAAGCCCAUCGCUCAACGGUGGAACGGCCAUUGAUACUGCAAGACUUGAAUUAUUAGGAAGUAACUAGAAUAUGUAGUGUAGCGGUGAAAUGCUUAGAUAUUACAUGGAAUACCAAUUGCGAAGGCAGGUUACUACUAAUUGAUUGACGCUGAUGGACGAAAGCGUGGGGAGCGAACAGGAUUAGAUACCCUAGUAGUCC